rnacentral:rRNA from 1 species
GACGAACGCUGGCGGCGUGCUUAACACAUGCAAGUCGAGCGGUAAGGCCCUUUCGGGGGUACACGAGCGGCGAACGGGUGAGUAACACGUGGGUGACCUGCCCUUAGCUCUGGGAUAAGCCUGGGAAACUGGGUCUAAUACCGGAUAUGACUCCAUGACGCAUGUUGUGGGGUGGAAAGCCUUGUGCGGCUAGGGAUGGGCCUGCGGCCUAUCAGCUUGUUGGUGGGGUGAUGGCCUACCAAGGCGACGACGGGUAGCCGGCCUGAGAGGGCGACCGGCCACACUGGGACUGAGACACGGCCCAGACUCCUACGGGAGGCAGCAGUGGGGAAUCUUGCGCAAUGGGCGAAAGCCUGACGCAGCGACG